rnacentral:rRNA from 1 species
UACGGAGGGAGCUAGCGUUGUUCGGAAUUACUGGGCGUAAAGCGCACGUAGGCGGCUUUGUAAGUUAGAGGUGAAAGCCCGGGGCUCAACCCCGGAAUUGCCUUUAAGACUGCAUCGCUUGAAUCCGGGAGAGGUGAGUGGAAUUCCGAGUGUAGAGGUGAAAUUCGUAGAUAUUCGGAAGAACACCAAUGGCGAAGGCAGAUCUCUGGGCCGUAACUGACGCUGAGGAGCGAAAGCAUGGGGAGCGAACAGG